AAACCAUAACAUAGUGAUGAUGCAAAAGAGUAUGAUACUACCUGAAGAGUAUCAAAAAUCAGUCUAUAUGACCAAUCAUUCUGAAAUUGUCAUGGCCAGCAGUCUGUUUGGCUUGGCUACUCCUGAGGGCAGGUCACCAGCAGAUGAUGGCUCUUCCCAGUAUUUCCAGCAAGCUUGGGAAGGUUAAUAAGCCUUUGGAACAAGGAAACCUUCACAGGCUUCAGUGAUUAGAGGCGAGACUGGAUGAGAUGAGUUCAGCUGAGCUCUCUAAAUGAAGAAACCUGUGUGGACUAGCUCAGGUGGAACAGCCAAUUCAUAUCCUUGUCCUGCUCUGCUGCCCCUUGCUUGGAUUUCUGGACUCUGACCUUGGUUUCCUCCAGACUUGCUUCGGACCCUGUUUAUAUUUUUGAAUUCCCGGCUUUUGAUUUAUGGACAUUGACUUCGGCAUCCAGGGGGGAAAAAAGGGAGGAAAGAAAAAGGAAAGAAGAAAAGAGAAAUGUGAGUAUUUUGGAACACUGAUAUAUAAAGAUGCAAAGGUUUGUGUGGCAUUGAAUGACUUCAAACCGAUCCAGACACAUUCAUCUUCCCAAGAAGAAUUAGACUCAGUGUGAUUCAUUUUAAUAGCAGAGGAAAAAAAGUAAGACUACUGUGCAGUGCGAAGUUCCUAACCUUUGAUGGUGGAACAAGGCGGAGGAAGAGAACUUUCUCCCCCCACGUUGUUGAAGUCUGCCUACCCAUCUGUUAUGUCCAGCUCAUCAAUUAAGGUGAACUCGUGAACUUGAGAAGGUGUUUAAUAAAGACAGCAAACCUAUU
rnacentral:lncRNA from 11 species